rnacentral:rRNA from 1 species
UACGUAGGGGGCAAGCGUUGUCCGGAUUUACUGGGCGUAAAGAGCGUGUAGGCGGCCAAACAGGUCCGUUGUGAAAACUGGAGGCUCAACCUCCAGACGUCGACGGAAACCGUGUGGCUAGAGUCCGGAAGAGGAGAGUGGAAUUCCCAGUGUAGCGGUGAAAUGCGUAGAUAUUGGGAGGAACACCAGUGGCGAAGGCGGCUCACUGGACCGGAACUGACGCUGAGGCGCGAAAGCGUGGGGAGCAAACAGG